rnacentral:rRNA from 1 species
GGAUUAGAUACCCUGGUAGUCCACGCCCUAAACGAUGUGUGCUAGACGUCGGGAGGCUUGCCUCUCGGUGUCGGAGCUAACGUGUUAAGCACACCGCCUGGGGAGUACGGCCGCAAGGUUAAAACUCAAAGGAAUUGACGGGGGCCCGCACAAGCGGUGGAGCAUGUGGUUUAAUUCGACGCAACGCGCAGAACCUUACCAGCCCUUGACAUGGUGGUUACGGUUCCGAGAGAUCGGUUCCCUCAGUUCGGCUGGACCAUCACAGGUGCUGCAUGGCUGUCGUCAGCUCGUGCCG